AUAUCACUAUCCCUAGGAGACUGUCUCAAAAUAGAGAUUCCCGAGCCCCACCCCACAUCGACCAGAUCAGAAUUUGCAAGGAUGGGGCUCAGGAAUACUUAUUGUUAAAAAGAAGCCCCAAUGCACAAGCAAGUCUGGGAAACCCUGAAUUCCUAUCUCAACUAAGGAAGCUGCUGUCCAAAGUCACAUAGCUAGCUAAAGGCAGAGUUGGAGUAGAAGCAGGUGCGCUUCCCAGCACAGCACGUGGGCAUGUCGGCAAACUGCCCUGGCCCACUGAGCGGACUAAGAACAGCAGCUCCAAUGGGCAAGGACAUGCAUGCGUGUUUAUAAAGAUGUGUGCAGAGACGGCAUGGUACGGAAGAAUCAAGGGCAAAAAAGUGGAGCACAAGAUUGGAGAGACACCCACGGGGGAAAGAAAGUAAGCUCUACACCCAAUGUGGGGCUUGAACGCACGACUCCGAGAUCAAGAGUUGCAUACUCUAUUGACUGAGCCAGCCAGGUGCUCCUGCUUCUGUUUCACAGUUCAAACGUUUAAUAAAAGAUGAGAAGUAAAAACAAAACUAUGGUGGCAACAUUAUCGGAUGAACUUUUAAAUGUAUCUUUAAAAGAUAACCAGAGGAAAAUCAAUCUGAAACCUUAAAAAGGUAAACAUUAAUGAUUUAUAAAGCUGUUUUAA